CCUACGGGUGGCUGCAGUGGGGAAUAUUGGGCAAUGGGCGCAAGCCUGACCCAGCAACGCCGCGUGAAGGAAGAAGGCCUUCGGGUUGUAAACUUCUUUUGACAGGGAAGAGCAUAUGACGGUACCUGUCGAAUAAGCCACGGGUAACUUCGUGACAGCAGGCGCGGUAACACGUUGGCGGCAAGCGUUGUCCGGAUUUACUGGGUGGAAAGGGCGGGUAGUCGGGCUGACAAGUCAGUUGUGAAAUCCACGGGCUCAACCCCCGAACUGCAUUGGAAACUGCUGAUCUUGAGUAUCAGAGAGGCAGGCGGAAUUCCAAGUGUAGCGGUGAAAUGCGUAGAUAUAAGGAAGAACACCAAAGGCGAAGGCAGCCUACUGGACGACUACUGACGGUGAGGCGCGAAAGCGUGGGGAGCAAACAGGAUUAGAUACCCCAGUAGUC
rnacentral:rRNA from 1 species